ensembl:lncRNA
AUGUCAAAAAACAGUUUUGAACAUAUGGAGAAUAAUAGUAAAAUCUGUAAGAACAAUAACAGUAAGAAUAGUGAUUAUAAGAACAGUAACUGUAACUGUAGAGAUGAAAAAGGAAAUAAAAAAGAAUCUAGUUACGGUACUAUUACAAAAAAAAGAAGAGGUAGAAACAAAAAAAUAUAUGAUGAUGAUUAUGAUACUGAAGUAGAAGAAAUGAAAAGAAAAAAAAGAGAAUUUAAAAUAAUGAUUGAAAAUAACAAAGCUGAAUUUACAACAAUAAAUGAAAAUGAUAAUUUAUACAAAACAGUUUUAUUUGUUGAAAAAAAAAAUAAAAAGUUAUUACAAUUGAGAAAAUCAUAUCGAAGAAAAAGGAAAUUACAAUUAAUAAAUUUAGAAACAAAAAAUAUAACUAAUUAUAAAAACAUAUCAGAUUCAUCAUCAUUAAGCAAUAACAUAAUAAAUACAAAUGAAAUAAAUAUAAAUCAGAACAGUAAUUGUAAGGACCAAGAUGAAACAGUAACAUAUAAUAAUAAUCUAGCAAAAAACGAUUUGGUAAAAAAAAAUGAAAACAAUAAUAUGAUAAAUGUUGUAAGUGAUGAACAGGAACCACUGAUUACAAAUAAUAAUGACAAUACUACUGAAAAUACUACUGACAAUACUACUGACAAUACUACAGACAAUACUACAGACAAUACUACAGACAAUACUACUGAAAAUAAUAAUAUUGCAGUGGAUGAUAAUAUUUCAAAUGAUGAAAUUUUAUUAAGAAAUUUUGGCCUUCUUUCACUAAAUAGCAAUAACCUCUUGUCAGAUCGUAGCAGUAUGUUAUCAAAUAAUAACACAACAUAUUUUAUUUCACAAAAGAAUGAAAAAACAAACAAUAAUAAUGAAUUGAUUAGUGCGGUAAAUGAUGUAAAAAACCAAAUUGAGGUAAAUAACAUGAAUAGUGUUAAAAAUAAAGUGUGUUGCGAAAAAAAAAAAAAAUCUUUAAACAAUAAAAAUAAUCAUACUAUAACAGAAGAGACGGUUAUUACAUAUACAUCUUUUGGACAAACUGAAACAAAUGUCGUCACUGAUGUAGUAUUGACAAAUAUUGUACAAAAAGAAUCUGAGACAGUGAAAGUCAAUGAACAGUUUUACAUAUCAAACGAGAACGUUGAUAGGAAUAUUAAAAACACCUCAAAUGACAUGUUCUGCGUUAAUAACAAUAAAAUAUUAUUAAUUAAAGAUAAAACAAAUAAUUCAGAGAUGCAGGAAAAUAAUGUUACAUGUAUAACUGAAUUAAGUAGUUACACAGAAAAUAUUCAAAAAGAUAAUAAUUCGAAUGAUAUAUUCACAUAUGUUCCAACAUUGAAUAAUAGUAAAACACAAAAAAAAAUGAAUAUCAACUAUUCAAAUAAAUCAUCUAUUGCUUGUAAUAAUAAUGAAAUAAAUGUACCUUUAUUGGUGGAUAAAGAAUUAAAAAGUGAUAUAUCAAAUUCAGAUCAUUGUGUUUUAGAUGAAAAUAUAAAAGAAGAUAACAAUAAUGGUGAGAAAGAAAAAGAAAAAAAUAAAGUGACAAGAAAAUUAAGAGAAAGAAAAAAAAAAUUUAGACAAGAUGAUAUAUAUAUAUAUGAUGUUGGUACUAUUGUAGGAGUUAAUAAAAACGGAAACUGUGAUGGUAUAACUACAGAUUCAGUUAUUGAUAUAGUUGAUAAUACAUCUGGAGAUUUAUUAAAUAGUUUUUCGGAUGGGAUAUCUAACUGCAUGCUCCAGGGUUCUAUCGAUGGAACACUUAGUGGCACAGUUGGUAACACAAUUGGUAACACAAUUGGUAACACAGUUGGUAACACAGUUGGUAACACAGUUGGUAACACAGUUGGUAACACAGUUGGUAACACAAUUGGUAACACAGUUGGUAACACAAUUGGUAACACAGUUGGUAAUACAACUGGUGGUGAAAAAAAAAAAAAAAUAAAAAAUAAUAAUAAUAAUAAUAAUAAUAAUAAUAAUAAUAAUAAUAAUAAUAAUAAUAAUAAUAAUAAUAAUAAUAAUAAUAAUAAUAAUAAUAAAAAUAAUAAUAAUAAUAACAAUAGUAAUAAUAAUAAUAAUAAUAAUAAUAAUAAUAAAAAUAAUAAUAAUAAUAACAAUAGUAAUAAUAAUAAUAAUAAACGUAUAGCUAAAACUAAUAAUGCUUUAAAAAACGCACAUAUAAAUAAUAAUUUAAUUAUAGAUAUACCAAAUAUAGACAAUAACCAAACAAAUACCGAAUUGGUGAUAACAACUGGUAGUACUAGUAACAAUAAUAUGGACGAAAAUAAAAACACAACGAUUAAGGAAGAAACAACAAAUGGAAAUGUGGUACUUCAGAAUGAUGGAAAAUCUAGUGUUAAUAAUAAACAUAAUAAAGAAUUCAUCAACUAUAUUGAGACAAAUUUUAUAAAACCUGAAAAAGAAGUUUACACACAAAAUGAUAAUAUGGAGUGUGGUAUUACUAAUAUUAAGUGUAAGAAUGGAAAUAAAAAAAUAAAUAAAAAUGAAAAAAAUAUAAGGAGAGAAAAUAAAAAAAAAAGAAAAAAUAAUGUAACAAAAAAUGUUAAAAAUGAGGUCAAAUUAAAUAAAAUACAAAAAAUUAAAAAGGAAUCUAAUACAAAUAAAAAAUCUCGUAUGAAAGUUUGUUUAGAAGAUUAUUAUAAAAAAAAUAAAGAAAUAUAUAUGCAUAUAGAUACCUUAAAUACAAUUAAUGAUAUAGAUUUACCAUCUAUUGAAGAUGACACAUUUCUUGACAAUUUUGAAAUGUUUUUAAAAAAUAAAAAUAAUAAGGAUUUUAUUUGUCCAAACUGUAGUUAUUCUUAUAAAAUACAAGUGAGUAUAAAAGUUGGGUUGAUAGAGUUGAUAAUGAAUAAAAACGGGAUUGAGUAUACUGAACUGAAUAAUAAAAUAGAAAUAGAAAAAACAAAUGGCAUAACAAAUGGCAUAACAAAUGGCAUAACAAAUGGCAUAACAAAUNNNNNNNNNNCAUAA